rnacentral:rRNA from 1 species
AUUGAACGCUGGCGGCAGGCCUAACACAUGCAAGUCGAACGGUAACAGGAAACAGCUUGCUGUUUCGCUGACGAGUGGCGGACGGGUGAGUAAUGUCUGGGAAACUGCCUGAUGGAGGGGGAUAACUACUGGAAACGGUACCUAAUACCGCAUAACGUCGCAAGACCAAAGAGGGGGACCUUCGGGCCUCUUGCCAUCGGCUGUGCCCAGAGGGGAUUCGCUAGUAGGUGGGGUAACGGCUCACCUAGGCGACGAUCCCUAGCUGGUCUGCGAGGUUGACCAGCCACACUGGGACUGGGACACGGGCCAGGCUCCUACGGGAGGGAGCAGUGGGGAAUAUUGCACAAUUGGCGCAAGCCUGAUGCAGCCAUGCCGCGGGUAUGAAGAAGGCCUUCGGGUUGUAAAGUACUUUCAGCGGGGAGGAAGGGAGUAAAGUUAAUACCUUUGCUCAUUGACGUUACCCGCAGAAGAAGCACCGGCUAACUCCGUGC